CAGGGGCUGUUUCCAAAUGCGGACUGUGAAAGGCUUUGGGCGUUUUGCUUUAGGAUUUUCAAAGGUGUGAAUCUUGUUUCAUGAUUUAUCAGAAUUUUGUCCUCCGGAGAGGAAAUGCAUAAUGCAAAGAGGCCUUAGGUCGACUUUGCUUGAGGAAGUAUUGGAAGACGCCCAUGGGAGCAGCCAGUCAUCCAUCACAGGCCAGUGUUGAGUCCCACAGCAGCAAAGCAGCUAAUAGUGACACAGAACCCUGGGGAGGAGACCAAGCAGUCGCCUGCUACGAAAACAGAGCAGUGGAGGGGAUCAAGGGCUGGAAGGGCCAUGGUCUUUCUCCUUCUCGCUUCGAAAAUGUUCCUCACAUUCCCGGCAAUCUGUCGUGCUGCAUCUGUCCCAUAUGGCUGAAAGGGCGGACAUGACUAAUCUAAGCCUGCCAUCUGGUUAAAGAUAUGGCCCCUGCUGUCGCCUGUAUUUCCCAUGAAUUCUCACUGCUCCUCUCCCCAUGGAGACACAUCCGGAAAGGUCAAAGUUCAACCCCAUGACCUGCAGAGAGGUAUUGCUCCUGCUGCUCAGAGGUCACGUCCCCUCUC